CUUACCAAAUAAAAAAAUGGGCUUCUUAGUAUCUAAAGUUGAUGACCUAUUCCACAUAAUAAAACGAACAAUAAAUUGGUUUUAACAAAAAUAACCGCAACUACAAUAAAACUUCGGAGCAAAGUGAGGGUAUUGUAUGCACUCCCCCACUGGAUUACGACCCCCACCCCCAUACUUAGAGACGCAUAGAUCCAUGCAACAUUGUUCGGUGCAUGAGGUAAUAGGACACUUGUGACUCGAAAGAGUCUUAACGCACCUCCUAUACGGCUUCAUUUCAUCGCCUAACAAUUGUAACAUUUCGCAACCUGCAAUUUUUUAAUUAUUAUUAUUUUAUAUAUAUUAUAAGCUAGCACACUUGAUAUACAUACACUACAAAUUUAUUUCGAUACCUGGCAAAAAGAAAAAAAAACUUCACCUGAAACGAGGACAAGAAUAAACAACAAUGUUAAGGCGGCCGUCGUCCUUGCCAUUUGAUUA
rnacentral:lncRNA from 1 species